GGACCGGAAGCAGAGCUCCCUUCAAUCCAAUGAAGGGUCAUUUGAAGGGUUGUACAGCUGCUCGUUCAUGGUUCCCACUAUCCUCUCUCAUCAGCGAGCGAGGGAGAUUGUAAGAUCAGUGGGAUGAUUGGUUUGAGAUAUGUUUGUGGUUUGCAUGACCAAGUCGCUGCAUCGUCCCCUCUCUGACCGCUCUUUGGAUUGAAGGGAGCUCUGCGCCUUGAUCUC
rfam:Dichanthelium oligosanthes cultivar Kellogg 1175 unplaced genomic scaffold Do_version_2_scaffold172, whole genome shotgun sequence.